rnacentral:rRNA from 1 species
AUGAGUCCAGGAAAAUUAUCUGCUUGCUCAAAUUUUUCCCUAAUCCUCUCUUUCUUUUUCUUCUUUUUAAUUGUUUUUCUGUUAAAGGAAAAUAGAGGGAGAGAGAAGAGUGCCGGCCCAACUUCUUCAGCCCAUCUGCACCUAGUCUGCGGCCUAACCAACCGGGCCUCCCGCGCCGCCCCAUUGGCCCAUGCCGCCCUCCUAACCCUAGCCGGAUCCUUUCGCAGUCUCCCUCUCCCCUCGUUCGAUCCUUACUUCCAGCGCCGCCAGAGAGAGAGGGACCUACAGCGCCAGGAAGCCCGAUUCCCUCGAUCCCAUCUCCUCCUUCGUCCCUCUUUCCUCGCGCCGCCAGAAGCCCCCAUGACCGAACUUUCCUCUCCCUCGAUCCCAUCUCUUCCUUCUCCUUCACCGCAUCUACAGACAGAGGGAGAGCAAGAGCAACUCUCCGGCCCGCCGCCGCCCUGGGCGCGUGACCAUGCCGACCCCGCGUCCUCGCCUCCGGCAACCGUCGCCGCUCCGUGCAACCCCGGCCAUCCUCCUGCACUGCCCGUCGCCAUCAACUCCUCUGGGCCGUCGUGUCCUCCCUCUCCUCCUUCUCCAGUGAGCCAGCGCCCGCCUCCUGCUCGCCUCGCCAUGGCCCGCUCCCGACCAGGCGCCACUCCACAACCGGAGUGCCCCUGCUCCUUUCUCCUCCUCGCUGCUGCUCGGCGCCUCAUCAGCGAGCUCCUCCGUCCCCUCCUUCGUCAGUUUCCCUGCUGGGCCCCUCUUCCUCCGCGCCAUCUUCGUCGAGCACCAGGGGCUCGACCUAGUUCCCUCACUGCUGCGCUGCCACACCACGGCAAUCGUGACCUGCUGCCGCUGCUCUUCUGCACGCUGUCGUCCACGACCACCAGGGGGCUGCCGCUCGCCUCACACCCCUGCUGCCGGCGACCGGGGCCGCUGGAGCAUGUCCGCCGUCGACCUCCUCGGUCAACCGGGUCGUGCCAUCCCUUCGUCGCAACCUCUUCUGCGUUAGGCCAUGACCAGCCCCGCGUUGACUUCUCUGGCAUCUUCUUCCACGAGCAUUACAACUAUAAGCCCUGCUGCCUUCGGUUGCAGCCGGUUUGUUUGUCUUGUUGGACACCGACGCCCGCAGAUUUUGGACGCGCCAAGUUCCGUUUCAAAAUGUUUAACUACACCCUAUGUGGAUUUCGACAAGUUCCACGACGUCCGUCGAUCGCCAAGUACCCCUUCGGAUACGCAAGUCCCUCGAAGGUUCACCGAUGCCAAGUACCACACGGAAACGCCAUGUUCCCCUACGCACGAAGACGCCAAGACCGUUUCGGGAUUCACCAAGUACCGCUACCGACGGCUCGAACAUCUACGAAACAUGUACCACUACCGUCGCCGAAGACCCGUGUAACGCAAGUGUCAAGUUCAACCACUGUCGCGUGA